rnacentral:lncRNA from 1 species
CCACUUUAUGCCAGAACUCUCAAACUUACUUAUGAAGAGCAGAAGCUUUUGAUAGAGGUAUAACUAACUUCAAAAUUAUUGUUAAAAUUUCAUUUUAGGUCCUUCAAUUUAGAUGAUUUUUGCCAACUUUGGUCCUAAACCGUCUGUUCAAUGCUUGGUCCUUGAGAUUUUUGUAACUAUUUUCGUCUAUGUUCCAUGUAAUAUGACAAUAUUACCCUUAUCUAUUUUUUUUAUUUACUUAAAGUUUGUUAUCGAAUCUCUAAUGUAACAUUUAAAUAAUUAUUAUAUACUACUAUUACUUUGAAACAAUAAAAACUCCUGACACUGUUACUUGAGAACGUCAGGUUUUGAUAAAGUAAGUUCUUCUAAGAUGAUGUCACUGAUGAUAAAAAGACAUACAAUUAACGAUUAUUAUUUUUUUAUAAUUAAAGUUCACUUAUAAACAACAAAAUCCAACAAGGGUAUCAUACUAUUUUACAAUUCUGUAAUUUAAAAUUUUUGAAUCUCUAAUCAAAUAUAUAGAUUAUCAAAUGCAUGGACCAAAAUAAAGAUAGUUAUCCACUAAAAAACCUACAGGAGUGAUAUGUUGGUUUUUGAUUAACUUACAUAUGUUAAAAAAAUAGAAUAUUUGAGAAACCACUUUUGGUUUCCUUUGUAGUUCUAAUCUUACAAUUACUAAUUUUAAUACUUUUUUUAUCUGUUUCCCAACAAACACCCGAGAAAUAGCAAUGUACUUUUGUUAUAAGCAACAAAUAGCUAUGUACUUAACCAUUUUGUCUCAAAUGAAGUUAAAUGGAUUAAAAAAAUUUAGAAAAUGGUUUACUAUAAUUUUUAACAGAUCUAGGAAGAUCUAAAUAAGUAUGGUCCAAUCAUGUUUUUUCACUUACAGAAGAUCACAUCACAACCCACCUGAUAAAGUUUUAAAUUUGUUAAUGUUAUUAAGAGACUUUCAUUUAUAGCAUGCAUGAGCUUUUAAAGAAAAAUGAAGAUGGGGUUUCUAUUAUAUUUUACAGAUUUAUGGAGGUAUUAUGUCUUUCAAAUUUCAAUUUUCAAACUCCAAUAAGACUGUAACAGUAGUGUCAUUUUUGUCAUUUUCGAGGGUACCAAUUUUCACCUAUGUAACUAAAACAGGUCAAUUUUCGCAUUGCACUUUCAAUUACCCAUCUUUCGCAUUACACUUUGAAUUGUGUCCUAUUAGGACACUGUAGCUAGAACAAAUACAUGAAUGUACGUUGCUGUUUACUGCAUUUAUAAUCCUUUUAAUAAUUUUGUUCUAUUUUAUUUUUCCUAAUGUACUAGCUUUUAUUCAGUGGAUCCAAAAAACCGUGANUUUGAUAGAGGUAUAACUAACUUCAAAAUUAUUGAGAAAAUUUCAUUUUAGGUCCUUCAAUUUAGAUGAUUUUUGCCAACUUUGGUCCUAAACCGUCUGUUCAAUGCUUGGUCCUUGAGAUUUUUGUAACUAUUUUCGUCUAUGUUCCAUGUAAUAUGACAAUAUUACCCUUAUCUAUUUUUUUUAUUUACUUAAAGUUUGUUAUCGAAUCUCUAAUGUAACAUUUAAAUAAUUAUUAUAUACUACUAUUACUUUGAAACAAUAAAAACUCCUGACACUGUUACUUGAGAACGUCAGGUUUUGAUAAAGUAAGUUCUUCUAAGAUGAUGUCACUGAUGAUAAAAAGACAUACAAUUAACGAUUAGUAUUUUUUUAUAAUUAAAGUUCACUUAUAAACAACAAAAUCCAACAAGGGUAUCAUACUAUUUUACAAUUCUGUAAUUUAAAAUUUUUGAAUCUCUAAUCAAAUAUAUAGAUUAUCAAAUGCAUGGACCAAAAUAAAGAUAGUUAUCCACUAAAAAACCUACAGGAGUGAUAUGUUGGUUUUUGAUUAACUUACAUAUGUUUAAAAAAUAGAAUAUUUGAGAAACCACUUUUGGUUUCCUUUGUAGUUCUAAUCUUACAAUUACUAAUUUUAAUACUUUUUUUAUCUGUUUCCCAACAAAC